AGUGGCAGGGUGUGACAUUUGCA
rnacentral:miRNA from 8 species